CACAAAAAAAAGCAAAAUUUUCAAAUCCAAAAUUUUUGAUGUGUUCAUUUUACAUUUUUUAUUAAUUUAUUAUUAUAUUUUAAAACGUUUGCCAAACCGAAUUUUACAAUAAAAAUGGUAGCUUUUAAACGUCUUCCCGAUUUCGAUAAAUGUUGUUUCUGUUUAUCAUUAAGAGUAGGAUGUUUUAUAAUGGGAUUCUGUUUUUUGUUGGGCGGCACCGUAGGCACACAUUAUCCCAUACUGUUUGAGGGAGCGGCAGAUGAUAAGUACACAUGCUACGAAGGAUUUAAAAAUAAAAAAUGCAGUCAACACAGACUUUUGUCGACCGAAUUCCGCGUGCUAAUAGGGUGUCUCGAUAUUGUAUUGUUUGUUGCAACUGUCGUGUUUAUUGUGGGCCUUAUCAUUAAAAAUGCUUUGUGUAUUACAGUUUAUAUGUACAUGUUCGCUGUCACUAAGUCUGUGGAUAUUAUGAUUUACGCUUAUCUUUUUCUAUUGGGGUCGUUUGGUUCUUGCAAAUCAACGCAUUAUAGCUUAAUAAAUUGUUUUGUGUCAAUGUUAUUAACUACAAUGUUUUCAUUAUACAUGCUAAUAAUCAUGAAAAGCUAUAGGUCUACAAUCGAGUAAAUAAAUUGCAGCUCGAUGUCAGAAUAAAGUUUUAUAAGAAAAACAUUGCCUUAUUAUUAAAUUUUAUGUAGGGAUUAAUACUCCGUAGCUUCAAAUAUCGCGAGGGUUGCGAAGAAUUCAAAGCUGUAUCAUGUGUCCGGCCUCGGUGUCGACCAGUCGGUCUAUGAGGGGCAUCUGUCUGUAGUUUAUCUUUUAAAUAACUGCAUGGGUGGAAAUCUUACCAUAUGGAGUCGGCGCUGAAGGAAGUUGAGUACCUAUGCAAAAUGUGAGGACCGCAUACAGUAGAUGGUUUUUGAACUUAAAAAGCUUAGAGAAUAAAAAAACCAGAUGGUGUCGGGCUUUUAGUCCAUUUUUUUAUUUACCUUUGUAUUUUGUCAAGUGAAUAGAUU